rnacentral:lncRNA from 1 species
AAAUUUUGGGAGUUUAAAGUGUAUGUCACUUUUUUAAAAGAGUUAAUACAUAACAAUUUUAAAUAGUAUCGUGUCAAUUUUCAUCAAAAAAUAAUAUAUCAUGUCACUUUUGAGUACAACUAUUGCCAUAAAUAUUCUUCAUAGUUUUACUUUAAAAUCUUGCAAGAACAGUGCAAUAUUGUUGUCAUAAAGUGCCCAACGUAAGUUUUUAUGAUUAUUGCAUAAAGAAUAUCAUGAAUAUGGAGAGGAAUUUUAGAGAGAAGAGAGAUGAAUGUAGAGAGAGGUCAUUAUAUUUAGGGUAUAUAGUAUGGUUUCCUCAUAAUAAUGUGUUGUUGAAUGUGGCUCCUCCUGCGUGUAAUACAUAUAUAUAUGAUUAAAGGGAAAAUUUCAUAAGUGAGAGAUUAAUCAUAUUACAUUUCAAAAACAAG